ACUCCGGUUAGCUCAGUGGGUUGAGCUCGGUGCUGAAAACACCGAGAUCACGGGUUCAAUUCCCGUUCGGUCUG
rnacentral:tRNA from 1 species